GAAGAAUACGGCCUACUCUCCCUCUCUCCCUCAAUAUACAAUGCUAACAAGAUAUACUUUAUUCUUCAGGGGAACUGAAAACCAGUAAUUCAUUGUGAAAGCUGAGUAAAAGGUUUCUUUGAUUGGUUUAAAGGCGUCAUGGAUGAUAUUGCAGUGUCACCACCAUCAAGUAAUAGAAAUGCCCACCUACGUGAUAACCGCCUACAAAGGAGAUGCAGGAUCUACACUCAAUGCCAUGUUACAGAAACUGCAACAUG